rnacentral:pre_miRNA from 1 species
UUUAAUACUCCUUCCGUCCCAUAUUAAGUAAUUUGAUCAUCCAUCUUACUUAAAAUUAUUUUUAUAAUUAGUAUUUUUAUUAUUAUUAGAUGAUAAAACAUAAAUAGUAUUUUAUGCGUGACUUAUGUUUUUUAUUUUUUUAAAAAAAAAUUAAAUAAGACGGAUGAUUAAAAUUGAACACACAUUUAAAAUGAGACGGAGAUA